rnacentral:rRNA from 1 species
GAUGAACGCUGGCGGCGUGCCUAAUACAUGCAAGUCGAGCGAACGGACGAGAAGCUUGCUUUUCUGAUGUUAGCGGCGGACGGGUGAGUAACACGUGGAUAACCUACCUAUAAGACUGGGAUAACUUCAGGAAACCGGAGCUAAUACCGGAUAAUAUUUUGAACCGCAUGGUUCAAAAGUGAAAGACGGUCUUGCUGUCACUUAUAGGUGGAUCCGCGCUGCAUUAGCUAGUUGGUAAGGUAACGGCUUACCAAGGCAACGAUGCAUAGCCGACCUGAGAGGGUGAUCGGCCACACUGGAACUGAGACACGGUCCAGACUCCUACGGGAGGCAGCAGUAGGGAAUCUUCCGCAAUGGGCGAAAGCCUGACGGAGCAACGCCGCGUGAGUGAUGAAGGUCUUCGGAUCGUAAAACUCUGUUAUUAGGGAAGAACAUAUGUGUAAGUAACUGUGCACAUCUUGACGGUACCUAAUCAGAAAGCCACGGCUAACUACGUG